GUAAAUGUAGCCCUCGUUUGGUUUUCUUAAAAAUUCAUCAAUUUAAUUUAAAUUUUUCUCUUCUAUUUUUAAUCACACAAUUUUCAAUAAAAUAGUAUUUCAAAUAAAUCAAAAUUUUUUAAUUCUUUUACAUUUUUCAAAAAAAAAAAAUAUAUAUACUAUUCACCCAUUCUAACUCUAAAUGAUGGGGCCAAAUGGGGAGCCUAUUAGCGACUAUGCAGUAUGUAAAUGCAAGCAUGAAUACCACCUCUUCGUAUUUAUGACUACAUUGAUGGUUCGGAGGGACCGUCAAGAUAUAUAAUGUUAUUGUACAAUUUAUCCAUAAGAAAAUUUCGCAUGUGCAUUAAAUUUUUUUUUUCUAUAUUUUAAAUUUUAAUCAUACAUUCUAAAAAAAUGGGGCUCGGACACGUUCUUGUUUAUUAAAAUUAUUCGAAACUUGAUAAUUAUGUAACGAUGUUUACAUGCUCGUGUGUGGCGGGAAAUAAGGAGAAGGUUGGAGUCUAUGUUAGUAUAAGUCUAUGGCCAUUAUUGGGAGAGUUCAAGAUAGAUUUGUGUAAUAAAUGAAAAAUCAUAUUAUUUCUAUUUAUUUAUAAUUUUAAAAAAGUUCACUCUUUCUCCCAGCACCUUUUUAAUUUGGUUCCAUUUGUCUUCUCCAAUGUAUUAACUCUUAUGUAAUAAGGUCACUACAGUAACAUUUUUUUUUUAUUUUUUUUUUAAUAUUGAUC
rnacentral:lncRNA from 1 species